rnacentral:misc_RNA from 1 species
GAUGAAGAACGUAGCGAAAUGCGAUACUUGGUGUGAAUUGCAGAAUCCCGUGAACCAUCGAGUCUUUGAACGCAAGUUGCGCCCGAAGCCAUUAGGCCGAGGGCACGCCUGCUUGGGUGUCACACGUCGUUGCCCCCCCAUCUACUCCUUCGGGAUUGCGGGGGGCGGAUGAUGGCCUCCCGUGCGCCUCGUCGCGCGGUUGGCAUAAAUGCCAAGUCCUCGGCGACGCACGCCACGACAAUCGGUGGUUGCGAAACCUCGGUUGCCCGUCGUGUGCGGUCGUCGCGCAUCGAGGGCUCGAAAAAAUUGCCGGGCUCCGGCUCGGCUUUCAACGCGACCCCAGGUCAGGCGGGGUUACCCGCUGAAUUUAAGCAUAUCAAUAAGCGGAGGA